rnacentral:rRNA from 1 species
GUCGAACGAAGUAGCAAUACUUAGUGGCAGACGGGUGAGUAACAUGUGGGUAUCUACCCUUUGGCCUGGAAUAACACGAGGAAACUUGUGCUAAUACCGGAUAAGUCUUUACGGAGAAAGCUUUAUGCACCAUUGGAUGAGCCCGCACUUGAUUAGUUUGUUGGUAGGGUAAUGGCCUACCAAGACUAUGAUCAAUAGCUGAUUUGAGAGGAUGAUCAGCCACAUUGGGACUGAGACACGGCCCAAACUCCUACGGGAGGCAGCAGUGGGGAAUCUUGCACAAUGGAGGAAACUCUGAUGCAGCGAUGCCGCGUGAGUGAAGAAGGCCCUUGGGUUGUAAAGCUCUUUCGUCGGGGAAGAAAAUGACUGUACCCGAAUAAGAAGGUCCGGCUAACUUCGUGCCAGCAGCCGCGGUAAUACGAAGGGACCUAGCGUAGUUCGGAAUUACUGGGCUUAAAGAGUUCGUAGGUGGUUGAAAAAGUUAGUGGUGAAAUCCCAGAGCUUAACUCUGGAACUGC